rnacentral:rRNA from 1 species
GUGGGGAAUAUUGCACAAUGGGGGAAACCCUGAUGCAGCGACGCCGCGUGGAGGAAGAAGGUCUUCGGAUUGUAAACUCCUGUUGUUGAGGAAGAUAAUGACGGUACUCAACAAGGAAGUGACGGCUAACUACGUGCCAGCAGCCGCGGUAAGACGUAGGUCACAAGCGUUGUCCGGAAUUACUGGGUGUAAAGGGAGCGCAGGCGGGAGAACAAGUUGGAAGUGAAAUCCAUGGGCUCAACCCAUGAACUGCUUUCAAAACUGUUUUUCUUGAGUAGUGCAGAGGUAGGCGGAAUUCCCGGUGUAGCGGUGGAAUGCGUAGAUAUCGGGAGGAACACCAGUGGCGAAGGCGGCCUACUGGGCACCAACUGACGCUGAGGCUCGAAAGUGUGGGUAGCAAACAGGAUUAGAAACCCCGGUAGUCC